CGAAGAGCUGUUUCAGUUUCUUCUGCUUAAAGACUUCUCAAAUAAUUCAAGGCAUUAAGGAAGGAGUGUCUGCAGUCUUCUAGAGCAAGCAAGCGGAAAGAGAAGCACAAGUUACGCAGAAGAAGAUGACCCCCAGAAGGAGUUGUAGAGACCAGUAAGGUCUCCCCUGAGCCUCCUCCUCUCCACACUGAACAAUCCCAGUUCCCUCAGCCGCUCCUCGUAAGACCUGU
rnacentral:lncRNA from 1 species